CCUACGGGAGGCAGCAGUGGGGAAUAUUGCACAAUGGGCGAAAGCCUGAUGCAGCAACGCCGCGUGAGGGAUGACGGCCUUCGGGUUGUAAACCUCUUUUAGCAGGGAAGAAGCGAAAGUGACGGUACCUGCAGAAAAAGCGCCGGCUAACUACGUGCCAGCAGCCGCGGUAAU
rnacentral:rRNA from 1 species